ncrna:unclassified sequences RAGATH-28 RNA
AGCGGAUUGAUUCGUCUCUGCUUGAUGUGACACGGCUGACAUACAGCAAAGCUACCGAUAACCUCAAGUUAGCGGAUGGCGGAGC